rnacentral:rRNA from 1 species
AUCAUAAAUUUUUAUGGAGAGUUUGAUCCUGGCUCAGGAUGAACGCUGGCGGCGUGCCUAAUACAUGCAAGUCGAGCGAACAGACAAGGAGCUUGCUCCUUUGACGUUAGCGGCGGACGGGUGAGUAACACGUGGGUAACCUACCUAUAAGACUGGGAUAACUUCGGGAAACCGGAGCUAAUACCGGAUAAUAUUUCGAACCGCAUGGUUCGAUAGUGAAAGAUGGUUUUGCUAUCACUUAUAGAUGGACCCGCGCCGUAUUAGCUAGUUGGUAAGGUAACGGCUUACCAAGGCGACGAUACGUAGCCGACCUGAGAGGGUGAUCGGCCACACUGGAACUGAGACACGGUCCAGACUCCUACGGGAGGCAGCAGUAGGGAAUCUUCCGCAAUGGGCGAAAGCCUGACGGAGCAACGCCGCGUGAGUGAUGAAGGUCUUCGGAUCGUAAAACUCUGUUAUUAGGGAAGAACAUACGUGUAAGUAACUAUGCACGUCUUGACGGUACCUAAUCAGAAAGCCACGGCUAACUACGUGCCAGCAGCCGCGGUAAUACGUAGGUGGCAAGCGUUAUCCGGAAUUAUUGGGCGUAAAGCGCGCGUAGGCGGUUUUUUAAGUCUGAUGUGAAAGCCCACGGCUCAACCGUGGAGGGUCAUUGGAAACUGGAAAACUUGAGUGCAGAAGAGGAAAGUGGAAUUCCAUGUGUAGCGGUGAAAUGCGCAGAGAUAUGGAGGAACACCAGUGGCGAAGGCGACUUUCUGGUCUGUAACUGACGCUGAUGUGCGAAAGCGUGGGGAUCAAACAGGAUUAGAUACCCUGGUAGUCCACGCCGUAAACGAUGAGUGCUAAGUGUUAGGGGGUUUCCGCCCCUUAGUGCUGCAGCUAACGCAUUAAGCACUCCGCCUGGGGAGUACGACCGCAAGGUUGAAACUCAAAGGAAUUGACGGGGACCCGCACAAGCGGUGGAGCAUGUGGUUUAAUUCGAAGCAACGCGAAGAACCUUACCAAAUCUUGACAUCCUUUGACAACUCUAGAGAUAGAGCCUUCCCCUUCGGGGGACAAAGUGACAGGUGGUGCAUGGUUGUCGUCAGCUCGUGUCGUGAGAUGUUGGGUUAAGUCCCGCAACGAGCGCAACCCUUAAGCUUAGUUGCCAUCAUUAAGUUGGGCACUCUAAGUUGACUGCCGGUGACAAACCGGAGGAAGGUGGGGAUGACGUCAAAUCAUCAUGCCCCUUAUGAUUUGGGCUACACACGUGCUACAAUGGACAAUACAAAGGGCAGCGAAACCGCGAGGUCAAGCAAAUCCCAUAAAGUUGUUCUCAGUUCGGAUUGUAGUCUGCAACUCGACUACAUGAAGCUGGAAUCGCUAGUAAUCGUAGAUCAGCAUGCUACGGUGAAUACGUUCCCGGGUCUUGUACACACCGCCCGUCACACCACGAGAGUUUGUAACACCCGAAGCCGGUGGAGUAACCAUUUGGAGCUAGCCGUCGAAGGUGGGACAAAUGAUUGGGGUGAAGUCGUAACAAGGUAGCCGUAUCGGAAGGUGCGGCUGGAUCACCUCCUUUCUA